rnacentral:rRNA from 1 species
GACAGAGGCCUCAAGCGUUAGGCGGAAUCACUGGGCUUAAAGCGUGUGUAGGCGGAUCGUUAAGUGUCUUGUGAAAUCCCACGGCUCACCCGUGGAACUGCUGGGCAUACUGGCGAUCUUGGGCCAACUAGGGGCAGCCGGAACAAGCGGUGGAGCGGUGAAAUGCGUAGAUAUCGCUUGGAACGCCGAAGGUGAAAACAGGCUGCUGGG